CCCAGCAGCCUGGCUCAUCCCAUCAUCGUCGGGAGGAUACAGUGAAUGGGUUGCUAGCACAAUACUGAAGCUUGAGAAUAUUUGUUCAGAUAUGAAGAACAUCAAAGAAGUGACUUGGGGUUUUUUGCGCAAUUAAUUGAAUGCCCUGGCCCCUCUAAUCUUCCGGCUAAACAUCAAAGGUUGUACCCUUGAGAUGCUUCUUCCUGUUAUUAUUUUUUAUAUGGUUUCUACCAUAUACCUUGAUACCUACAGUGUAUCUACAGGGUGAUAGCUAGCUAUUCUAUCAUAUUUUGGUUGAUUAGCUGUACUAAUAGGUCUGUCGGUGUAACAGCGUGAAUUUGCAUUUGUGUGCUAGAGAGGGCUGAUUGAUUUGAGGACCACGCCGGACCUUUGAAGUAGAGUACCUCUCUUUAGUGAUUCUGUUGGAGAGGGCUUCUGCUGUUAAAUAAUGAGUUGCGAUUGUUGCAUACUUGUUCCUGGUACGGCAAAGGCAAAGCAAAAGGAUGCAUAUUAGAUUGCAUUAUUGUCAGAAUAUGGUUAUUGUUUUGUCCUGGCUUCCAAUUUUCGGCUUUGCACAGAAGUAGGACCAUAUGAGUGCUUAAUGAGUAAUUACCUCCAUAUGGAGUUCAAUAAAACCUAGAAUGAGGACCCCCAUCUUGUCAUGUUGGCUGAUAAAGAGCUUUUAAUGCUUAGAUCUGGUUUUAUGAAGUAAUUGCAUGUGUUCUGUUUGUGGCUCGAGAAUGUUUAGUGGAUUUAGCUCCAUGUUAUUCAGGCUUAUAUGUCAAGCUGCUGAAAAUCUUCUUUCCUUUUUACCUGCAGC